CUGCUCACAGUGNGACGGUAUCUAACCAGAAAGUCACGGCUAACUACGUGCCAGCAGCCGCGGUAAUACGUAGGUGGCAAACGUUGUCCGGAUUUAUUGGGCGUAAAGGGAGCGCAGGCUGUUUAUUAAGUCUGAUGUGAAAGCCUUCGGCUUAACCGGAGAAGUGCAUCGGAAACUGAUAAACUUGAGUGCAGAAAAGGAUAGUGGAACUUCAUGUGUAGCGGUGAAAUGCGUAGAUAUAUGAAGGAACACCAGUGGCGAAGGCGGCUAUCUGGUCUGUAACUGACGCUGAGGCUCGAAAGCAUGGGUAGCAAACAGGAUUAGAUACCCUGGUAGUCCAUGCCGUAAACGAUGAAUGCUAAGUGUUGGGAGGUUUCCGCCUCUCAGUGCCGCAGCUAACGCAUUAAGCAUUCCGCCUGGGGAGUACGACCGCAAGGUUGAAACUCAAAGGAAUUGACGGGGACCCGCACAAGCGGUGGAGCAUGUGGUUUAAUUCGAUGCUACGCGAAGAACCUUACCAGGACUUGACAUCUUCUGCCAAUCUAAGAGAUUAGAC
rnacentral:rRNA from 1 species